GGUAUUCUUGCUUGGAGAAUCCUAUGCACAGAGAAGCCUGGCAGGCUACAGUCCAUAGGAUCUUAAAGAGCUGGACACGACUGACCAAAUAAGCACAUGCACACAGAAGAAUAAAGAUAGUCAAUAGCCUCUGUUGUGUGUUCGAGGGGAACAUCUGGCGCCCUUUGCCAUUUCACAGAGGACUCACUGCUCUGCAGUUCCAGCAGUGCUGGCUUUGGGGCUUGAAGAAAAUACUCAAAAUUGAACUCCUUCUGUGAUGGCUUUAAGGAACUUUCCUUGGCUUUCCCACUCUCUUGACUCUAAACAACAUUCAUGAUAGCUGGAGUAUCAAUUCAACGGCAGCAGUUGCAAGAGAUGAAGCUGAAGGAACGGUCAGCUGAAAGAACAUAAAGAGGCUGGAAACUAGGUUCGUGGACUGACUGAAGAGUUAAUGAAUAACAAAAAUGUGCAAAACUUCCUCUGCACCCUGGACAGGGUGGCUACUGUCACCCAGCGCUUACAUUGUAGGGGGAGCAAAAGGGUUGGAGCUUCUUCCUUAGAGCCAUGUGGGGGCUACUGAAGUGUUGUGGACACAGAUUGGGUUUUAGAACACAGCCCUGCUGCAGUGUAUACAGUGAGCUGAUGGCGCAAGAGUCAAGAGGAAGCCAAAGCAGUUGUUUGAGCCCAUGACAAGAGCGUGCUAGACUAAGGUAAUAGGGACAGGGAUAUUAAGGGGUGAAAUGAUUUGAGGGUCCCUUGCAAGUGAAAAUAGAUAUAAUUUGGUGCUGGAUUAAAUGUGGAUGUGUACACUGGAAAGGCAGAGUAUACCACCUCAAUGCACCUACAAAGAUAAGCAUAAAAGCAGCAGCAGUAAUGUUGAGUCCUGCCCCAGGCCCCAGGUAUGGUGUCUUGUACCAAGGUCACAGAAACGGAUCCCAGAACCAAGGAUACCUCCAAAGUUAAUCGAACCCCUUUGUAAUAGUUGCCAAAAGCCCCUGAACAUCACUAACAGGCUUCCUGACUCCAAAUUAGGCCAAGAUGCCCACUUCAUGAAACACCCCCAAAGCUCCCCAAUCACCUAACACCAGCCUUCCAGCAGGAAUUUUCUUUGUCUCAAGGCUAUAAAAAUUUGGCUAUUAACUCAUGAAAACUGUCGACUCUCCCUGGCCUGUCAGGAGUUGUCAGCCCACUGCGCUCACAGUGCCCACUUUAUCUCUGCUCUUUGUUCUUAAUAAACUCACUCCCUUUUGCGAUGCUCUGUGCCUGGAAAUUCUCUUCCAACCCGUGCUCAGACAGGCCCAGCAACUCUUUCCUUGCAGUUUUACAGGUGACGGCAGUACACAUAAUGGGUAUCUGGGCACAUCUGGGUAGACACAUCUGGUUCAAAUCCCUCAGACCCCUUUUCUUCCUUCUUCUAGUGAUGUUACUUUGGCCAAGAUAUUUAAUAACCACUCUGAGUUUUUGCCUUUUCAUCUAUAACAGUGGGGUAAUACAAGUUCAUACCUCAGGUGCUAGUGUUCAGAUAAAGUGAAAUACUGAAGGUAAAUAUUCAAAUACAUUAAUAGAAGGAUGCAGGUUUGUGUAGAGUUAUAUGAGAAUUAUUAGAUGUGCUUCUUGCCUUCAAGUACUUAAGUAAGGUGAAAGGAAUCACAUAAUUACUUGAAAGUAAAACAGAUAAAUUUGUAUUUAUUUAAAAGUUGUAUCUAAGUGUCUAUAGAGAUAGGUUUAGAUGUUAUUUAUAUGAUUACAGAUACUUGGAAGGAUGUAGUUUAACGGGAGACGUUUACCUUAAUAGACAUAGAACCUUAUCUAUGUUGAAUGAUUAUUGAAUGCUAAGUAUUUUGCUAGUUACUUUAUAUUCAUUAUUUAAUUAAUUGCUAAAGAAUCCUGUGACCUAUAUAUCACUUAUUCAGUGUUACAGAUAUUAAAACUGAGGUUCGUAGGCUUAAGGAUUAUUGAAAUUUGAAAUCAGUUUUCCCUACUUUAAAGCAUGUGCUUAUUCUGAUAUUCAGGCUGAAUAGAAUUUUCUGUGUUCUUAGUGUACCGUGGAUUUUUCCUUGUUUAGAAAAAUUGCCUAUCUAUUGACCUUUUCUUGCUUUUCCUCCUCAUGUAUUCAAGGGAAUUAUUCCACCGCCUGCGUCAAAUUUCCCGCUGGGGAGAAAAAGACCUUUGCUUAAUUAUUUCCCUUAUUUUGGUGGGAAAGAAGGGCUUUCUACAACACAGCAGAAUUCGGGACACUUCUCUUCAGGAAAUGAGUGUAGACAGAACAGCCUGGACCAAAAAGAAAAUGUGACCUACAAAAGAUUGUUUUCAAGUCCCGUGAGAUUUCAUUCAAUUUAUGUUUCUUUCACUUAAGCUCUGGCCUGUUUGGUCAAAAGGAGCAAAUUUAGUAAUGAGCUCUAUUUCCAAUUCUUCAGUCAUUUCUGUUUUGUGGGAUAUAAUGAUUUCUUGAGGAAAGGAUAGCCUCCGUGCCACAUUUCUUAAAGAAGAAACCACAAACAUACACGCAGACACACACACACAUGCACAAUUCCUUAUUUUUACACUGUUAUCAAGGUAAAACCAAAUAGUACACAGACCUUAUAAUGAAAAGCAAGGCUCUCUUCUCUAAAAAUCCCUACUUUCAGUCUCACUCCUGAGAAACAACUCAUUAUUUUUUAUCCCUUUCUUCUGGAAGAUUUCUCCACAUCUCUAAACAAUAGUCAUCGAGCUCUAUUUCAGGAUUAAUCAUUUUAGACCUUUUUCUAUUGCUUUUUUUAAUGUUUUCACAAAAUUAAGUCAAUCAUUUUUAUAAAAAUAACUUAAUUAUGGUUAUGUCUUUAAAUAUUAUAAAUAGGCAUAAUUAAAAACGUUAAAAUGCCUUAGUCAAUGAUGAUAAAAAUAACUUUAUUUAUUACAAAAUAAUUUGAGUACUAAAUAGAUUUACCCUACUUAACCAUUCUCUUAUUGGUACAUACUUAACUACAAAUUUUGGCCUUUAUAAAUGAUGCUAAUAAAAUCUGUUGCUAAAUUUGAACACACACAUCCAUAAUUUCCUAGGAAAAAUUCCUAGUAAUAUAGUUUCUAGUACAGUUUUCUGUUUGGUUUUGUCUUUUUGGUUUUAGUUAUUGAAACACAUUAUUAAAUAUCCUUCCAGAAAGUCUGGGCUGAUUUAUUUUUCCACUGGAACAGGAUCAGAAAACUUUCCGUUAAGAAUCAGAUAGUAAGUAUUUUAGGUUUAUAGGCCAAAGGAAAAAUUGAAGAUAUUAAGAAGGUAUUUAUAUAACAAGGGAGAAACCACAUUCGCACACAUUUUUAUUUAAGAAAAUGCAAAGUAUAACAAUAAUAAUAAGAAGAAGAAUAAAGGACAAUAUUUUUGAAACACAGAUCUGCUAAUAAAAAGAAUAGAUUCUUUUCAGGAAAUAGCAUUUUGCUUAGUUAUAUAUGUUGGGCAGAAUAAUGACCCUACAGAUAUGUUCACAUCCUGGUCCUUAGAUCCUCUAUAUAUGUCAAUAUGUUGUAUAUCAAAAGGGAAGUUGCAGAUACAAUUGAGAUUAUGGAUGUUAAAAUAGAUUAGUCUAGAUUAUUCAUGGUGGGUAGGUUUAAUUGAAUCAAAUGAGCUUUUAAAAGCACAGAGAAUACUAUUAGACUCAAGACCAAGAGAUGCAGUGGAAGAAGUUGUAAAGAUUAGAAACAUGAGAAGAACUUGACUCCCCGUUGGUGGAGGGGCCACUUGGAAGGCAUGAGAAAGAUUAUGGUGGGUAUCUAGAAGCAAGGAUUGGCCCCUUAACAGCAUUCAGCAAAGAAAUGAGGGCCUCAGUUAUACAAUCAUAAGGAACUGAAUUCAUGCAACAUCCUAAAUGAGCUUAGAAAUGAAAUCAUUCCCAGCGCACCCAGAAAAGAACAUAGUUUUGCAGACACCAUGAUUUUGGCUUUUUGAGACUUUGAGCGGAGCCAUCAGUCUGAGCUGCCACUCAGACUCUGACUUAGAAAACUGAGAUAGUAAAUGAGUAUUGUUUUAAACCACUAAAUUGUGGUCAUUUGUUAGAGCAGUGACUGAAAACUCACGACAAAAUUUGGACCUUCAAAUUUUGUUUGCUGUAUCAUCAAAAUUUGUUGGAAAUAUCCAUCUGUCAAUGUUGAUCUGAAAUGAGAUUUUGUAUAUUUCAUCAAUAAAAUGUCUUUUUACAGAAGUAGGUACUACCAAAUGCUGUUAACAAUACACAAAUAUGUGGUUUUUAAUUGAACAUAUUCAUCUCUUGGGAGGACUUUAUAGACUGAUAGAUGCUCUUCUUAAUGUUUGCCUUUUAACAUGUCAUUACCUUGCAGUUUGACCACACCUGAAGAAACUUAGAUGGAAGCUCCUCAGCUGUACCAUUAAAUUGAUUUCAAAAUAUGGAAAAUUUCCUUGCAUAUUCAUCAAGGGCAAAUACUACUGUGAUUGUAGUUUUAGCUCAGAACUGUAAGUUAGCCCACUACCAAUUCGUCUAAGAAUGGAGAUCUAGCUUGUUGUUUUAACUUUUGACAGCAUAAGGAUUAUUAAAAAAAAAAGUUUUAUAUUACUAGUGAUUCCGCAACAUCAGUUGUUGUGUAAAUGACCAUACUGAAGUAUGCAUUUUACAUAGAAGUACUAUUUUGCUUUUCUUUAUGUUCAUUAAGAAACAUUAUCAAGUUAGCAACAAAAGCUAAUUUCAGAGCUGCUCAGGAUUUGAUAAUAGUGGUUAAGAGAAGUUCUCAUUCACAAAAAUUCCAUUCUUGGUCUUGAGUUCAAAGUCAUCCAACUGACAAUGAUUAAGUCCACAAGAGUGAAUGAAGUUCACUGUUGACACCACUGGUUCAGUGAUACCAGAGAGAUUCAAAUAUUCAGUAUUCCAAGUACCUGUUGAUGAAUAAUACAGGGAAUAACCUUAAGCUUUAAACACUUGAAUUCAUCAAAAGGUCUGUGAAUUUAAAAAAAAAAAAAAAGCCCUUUUCUGCUCCACAUGUUUUUACCAUCAUCAGUGGUAACACAUUUUAGCAGAUUCCACUUGAGGUUGUACUGAAUUAGUUUUCCUCAACUUCCUUGAAAAUAUUCUCACCUACAUCUUUUCCAUCCAGAUUGGUCCCAGAGAGUAAUUCUUCAAUUACUUCUCUGAUAAGUGACAGCUGAUUAGUAGUAGUAACAUUUUUUGACAUUAAGUGCCAAGGAACGCUGCUCAAGAUCAUCUGCCUUGUUUAUAGGCUGCUCAAGAUCAUCUGCCUUGUUUAUAACUGACUAUUGAUGUUACUGUUUCCAAUGCCUUGAGAAACUGUUCUUGCUAAAAAUUUGAUAGUCUUGCUUACUUUCUCUCAUUACAUUUCUUCAAUUGCUAAGUUAAUAUUGGUAAAUGCAUUUUUUGCUUGGUUAAUGAGUAAGCUGCUGAGGAAUUCUACUGUAGCCUCAUUUUUAUUUAAUUUUUGUGAAAAAAUUCUAUUGUGAUUAUUCUACUUAAAAUUUUCUACUUCCCCUGGUGGUUGUUUUUCCAUGAGUAGGAGAUGUGAUGAGUGCAUAGUCUGAAAAGAUCAACAUUUAUUAAGUAUCAUUGCUUAAUAAAAAAGAUAUUUUGUCAUCUAAUUUGAUAAUGAAAUAAUCUAUAGUCUACUGUACCAUUAGAUUGCAAUAUUCAAAGUCCACUUUGUUCUUAUUUUGACAUGAUCUGUCAUGGUAGUAAAAUAAAUGUUGUGGUACAGUGAUGUGCAUGGCAUCAGAAAUGCCAUAGAAUUAGAACUGUCACUGUGAUUUUGUAGUGAAAGAAGCAAUGGUGCAAAGCAAAAAGAGUGUAACAUAUGGUCUGUGUCACAACUACUCAACUCCGCUGUUGGAGCAAGGCAACAGCCAUAGGCAAUGUGUAAAUGAAUGGAUGUGUUUGAAUUCUCACAAAACAUUUAUUAUGGAUGCUAACAUUUGAACUUUAUAUAGUUUUCACAUGCUACAAAUAAUUAUUUUUCUUUUGAUUUUGCUUCAGUGAUUUAAAAAGGAAAAGCCCAUUCAUAGCUCAUAAUCCAAACAAAAAGAGAAGUUGAGAUUUGGCCUUUGGGCUGUAGUUUGCAGACCCCUAUACCAGAAGAAUAUCCUUUAAUAAAAGAUCA